GAUGAACGCUGGCGGCGUGCCUAAUACAUGCAAGUCGAGCGAACAGACGAGGAGCUUGCUCCUCUGACGUUAGCGGCGGACGGGUGAGUAACACGUGGAUAACCUACCUAUAAGACUGGGAUAACUUCGGGAAACCGGAGCUAAUACCGGAUAAUAUAUUGAACCGCAUGGUUCAAUAGUGAAAGACGGUUUUGCUGUCACUUAUAGAUGGAUCCGCGCCGCAUUAGCUAGUUGGUAAGGUAACGGCUUACCAAGGCGACGAUGCGUAGCCGACCUGAGAGGGUUACCGGCCACCCGGAAACGGACACCCCGUCCAGCCCCCUACGGGGGGCAGCAGUGGGGAAUCUUCCGCAAUGGGCGAAAGCCUGACGGGGCACCGCCGGGGGGGUGAAGAAGGUCUUCGGUUCGAAAAACUCUUUUAUUUGGGAAAAACAAAUGUGUAAGUAACUAUGCACGUUUUGACGGUCCCUAAUCAAAAAGCCCCGGCUAACUACG
rnacentral:rRNA from 1 species